CAGCUUCCUUGCACUCCGAGAAGUAGAGUUCGUGUGAAAGGAGAGAUUAGUGGCUGGGUUUCUGAGGAGAAAACGUGGCGAGGAGGGAGCUCUCGCCAUGCCCCACAGCCGGCCCUGAUGACUGAGGCCUGCAGCAGCAGACGGAGCUGGAGGAUGGCACAAGAUAAAGGGAAGAGUCAUGUGGAGAAUUUUCACUCAGUACUGGACCAUGCUGGACCAUCUAGGACUUCACAAUAAAGGGAUAUGAGGCACUGGUGAUAUAUGAGGACCUGAGGAUGUUAUUGCAGUUGGAUUCUAAGGCCGUGUGGACUAAAAACAGCUCUUACAUUAUGUGUUUGACUAUAGCUCAUUUGUCUGUAAGCCAAUUCUAAUUACAUCGAAGUGGGCACAGCACAGAAGCUUCUGCAGCUCAUGUUCUCGAGAGCAGUCCUUACCAGACCUGAGAGAUGUAUGAUGGAGACAAC